rnacentral:rRNA from 1 species
AGUGAACGCUGGCGGUAGGCCUAGCACAUGCAAGUCGAACGGCAGCACAGUAAGAGCUUGCUCUUACGGGUGGCGAGUGGCGGACGGGUGAGGAAUACAUCGGAAUCUACUUUUUCGUGGGGGAUAACGUAGGGAAACUUACGCUAAUACCGCAUACGACCUACGGGUGAAAGCAGGGGAUCUUCGGACCUUGCGCGAUUGAAUGAGCCGAUGUCGGAUUAGCUAGUUGGCGGGGUAAAGGCCCACCAAGGCGACGAUCCGUAGCUGGUCUGAGAGGAUGAUCAGCCACACUGGAACUGAGACACGGUCCAGACUCCUACGGGAGGCAGCAGUGGGGAAUAUUGGACAAUGGGCGCAAGCCUGAGCCAGCCAUACCGCGUGGGUGAAGAAGGCCUUCGGGUUGUAAAGCCCUUUUGUUGGGAAAGAAAAGCAGCAGGUUAAUACCCCGCUGUUCUGACGGUACCCAAAGAAUAAGCACCGGCUAACUUCGUG